rnacentral:rRNA from 1 species
UUGAUCCUGCCAGUAGUCAUAUGCUUGUCUCAAAGAUUAAGCCAUGCAUGUCUGAGUACAGACCGAUCUAAGGUGAAACCGCGAAUGGCUCAUUAAAUCAGUCGUAAUUUCUUGGAUAGUGAAAAACUUUCCUCGGAUAACUGUGGAAAAUCCAGAGCUAAUACGUGCAACUGAGCUCCGACCUGGGCGCAAGCCUUGGGAAGAGCGCAUUUAUUAGAUUCAAAACUGACCGGCGUACUCCUUCGGGAUACGUCGUUCGUCAAAUGUUUGAUGACUCCGGAUAACUUAGCCGAGCGCUACGGUCUUUAGUACCGGCGCCGUAUCUUUCAAGUGUCUGCCUUAUCAGCUUUCGAUUGUAGGUUAAACGCCUACAAUGGCUGUAACGGGUAACGGGGAAUCAGGGUUCGAUUCCGGAGAGGGAGCCUGAGAAACGGCUACCACAUCUAAGGAAGGCAGCAGGCACGCAAAUUACCCACUCCCAGCCCGGGGAGGUAGUGACGAAAAAUAACGAUGCGAGACUCUUCCGAGGCCUCGCAAUCGGAAUGAGUCCAUCCUAAAUCUUUGGACGAGGAUCCAUUGGAGGGCAAGUCUGGUGCCAGCAGCCGCGGUAAUUCCAGCUCCAAUAGCGUAUAUUAAAGUUGCUGCGGUUAAAAAGCUCGUAGUUGGACUUUCUAGAUCCAUUUCGUGGGUGGGUCGCUCGUUGUACUGGCGAUUCGCGCCAGUCACUGGUCGACGUCGUGCGGAGUGUCGUACUUCUACUAAGUUGGCUUUACGGCUUUCGAUAGGGGAGACUUCUCUCUCUCGGCAAACUUUCCAGCGGACGGCGUUUCUCGGUCUUCGGGUAUAGCUCGCCCGCGUUUGGUACAAUUAAAAUUUUGUCGGCUCGCUCGGAGUGCUCUUUACCGAGUGUUCCAGGGUGGCCGACACGUUCACUUUGAAAAAAUUAGAGUGCUUAAAGCGGGCUGUAAAAACGGCCGGAAUGUCUGUGCAUGGAAUGAAGUAACAGGACCUCGAUUCUGUUCUUUUUGUCGGUUUUAAUGAACCGAGGUAAUGAUUAAAAGGGACAGACGGUGGCAUUAGUAUUGCGACGCUAGAGGUGAAAUUCUUGGACCGUCGCAAGACUAACUACUGCGAAAGCAUUUGCCGAGAAUGUUUUCAUUAAUCAAGAACGAAAGUUAGAGGAUCGAAGGCGAUCAGAUACCGCCCUAGUUCUAACCCUAAACUAUGCUAACUAGCGAUCCGCCGAAGUCAUUCCCACGACUCGGCGGGAAGCCCCAGGGAAACCAAAGUCUUUGAGUUCCGGGGGAAGUAUGGUUGCAAAGCUGAAACUUAAAGGAAUUGACGGAAGGGCACCACCAGGAGUGGAGCCUGCGGCUUAAUUUGACUCAACACGGGAAACCUCACCAGGCCCGGACAUCAUAAGGAUUGACAGAUUGAGAGCUCUUUCUCGAUUUGA